UCCUUCAAUGCUUAUUGUUGAUGGGAAUUGGGUGUUUAUUUCCUACUGGAACAUUUAUUUCUCGUUGUUUUAUGUCUCGUCAAGCUACUCCGCAUUAGGGAGGACACUACUGCAGGACUCUUGACUUGAGGAGAAGGAGGCAGAAGUUUUCAAUCUGAUACCCUGAUGUCCUGAACCAGUGACUGCCUAUUUGUUGCUCAACAGUCAGGGAGUAUUAUAGACAUACUAUCUGGAUAUGGAUUAAUCCACUGUGCUAGUAACUAAAACACUGACCGAUACCAGAAUAUACACAACACAUUUUUUUCCUUCUUUUUAAAGACACACUUGCAACAUCUUUUGAUCUAUUUUCAAAGUGUCAUUUUUAAUGUCUUUUUUUCAUCAAAAUCAAAAAACCUGGGUCGUUUUCUCGGACAAAGUCUCAACAGAGCGGCAGGAGUUCAUUAGAAAUUUACUUCUGGGUUGUGGGCAGGACCACUUGCUCUCCCGCUAGCUCACAGCCCCUCCCACCCUCAACCUAACAUUACCAGUACAACAAAAAUGGUGACUAAUAUUAAAUAUAUCCAAAUCUACAGUUUUGAGUCAGAUGCCAGAUCAGAUGAUUAUCUUAAUUUUCUCAAUAUACGUCCUCUAUCAUGAGAAAAAUGUUAAUAGAACAUGUUAAAAACACCCAAAAAAAUUUUUUUUAUUAUAUUUUUUCCAUUCAGUUGUUAACUUUGACAUAAAAAGCGUCUUAAUUUGGAUAGAUAAGUUCAUAAUCUUGCAACAGCAUUUUUUUUAUUCAUCUCAAAAAUAUUUUGUUUAAUUCCUGAUAUCGCAUGAACUAAGAUUCCAUAUUUAAUAUAAAAAAAAUACUGUCAAGUACAAACAAAUAGAAAUAUUUCAAUCUUACAGACCUCACAAUCAACUGUGUGCACAUGCACUAUUACAUAAUGUCGUUUGUUUAAUGGCAGACUCAUUGACUCCCUUCCAAUCUAUCCUCAAACUGUCUUUAACUAAUCUUAUGCAGAUCAACUGCUCAGCCAGCAUCAGGUCUCCAGUGCUCAUGUUCCCUUGGUGGCAUUUUAAAGGCUAACCACAGUCACAGUUCAGUGAGAGGAAACAAAGCAGCACCCCUGUGGAGGCUGGAUUGUCCCGGACUGCGACCACACUGUCUGCUGUGCUGCAGUAAAACCACAAUCUACAUCCAGGACCGCUAAUCCAAGGCAGGAUGGAUCCAUAUUUUCAAGUUGUUGGUGCCAAAUUCUGACCCCACCAUCCAAAUGUCGCAGCAGAGAUUAAGACUCAUUAGACCAGUAUCGACCAUUAGGAGACAGAAAGAAAAGGGCCAGCCUCUGUUUACAAUUCCAUCCCAAGGAUCUUCUCAACAGCUAUGCGCGCACGUGCCAGACAGAGGAGGUAGAGCAUGUCAGGGAAGAACCAGCGGGUGUGGAUUGGACAUUACUCAUCAACCGCAAUUGGCUUAAGGGAAUGCAGGGCACGAGGUGCACCCGGAGGCAAGACACGGAGGAUUUAUUUCACUUGGCUAUGCUCAAAAAAUGUGUAGCUAUGGUAAGCUCCCACUACUAGCCAGGCUGCAAAAAUGAACCUCUGCUAAAUUUGACCAACUAAAGCAAAGCAGAAAUGAUUCAACAAUGUGUUCACAUGUGACAAAUAUGCUCUAAAACUUUCCGUUAAACAAUUAUUGAAGACUGUUCCGAAUAGAAAUGCUACACAAAACACACAAUCAUUGCGUAAUUUUUUGUGUUAAAAUUUGCCAGUAACCAAAACACAAAUGAGUGUUUUUGCAAAAAUGGAACGAAAACUUGAUGACUCAAAUUCCCUCCAGAGGCUCAAACCUCCGUCAAGCUGAUAUCUGAUGAUGAGUGUACACUGUUAUGACAGCUGCUGCCCAGGGCACCGUGAGUUUCAACUGUCUAACUGCAAUGGGCGGAUGGGUGUUUGUGGAGUAACAAGUCAGUUCAUCUGCAUUGUUUCACUACAAACUGAAAUAUAAAAGUGCAUCAUUUAAGCAGACUGUCUUUUGAAACACUUUAUUUGACUAACAACUACAUAAAAAAUUACAGAUCCUCUAAAAGUGACAUUGAAGUAAAAAUAAAUGAAUAAUAAAGAUUUUUUUUGUCCUGGUUACUAUCUGCACACCGGAUAGUAACUAGAAAAAAAAACGUUUUCUAAUAACUGAAGUACAAUUUUUUUCCCCCCUGGGUACUUACUGGUGAGUAAGUAACCAGAACUGUUUUUUGUUUUUUAGAAAAAAAGUGUUUUUACUACAGCUUUUUUACUUCAAUGUCCCUUUUGGGGCUCUGUAGAAAAUUACUUGUAAAUGCUCAGAUUUUUUAAGGUACAAAAAAACAAAAAAAUCUCUGAAGAUAAUCUUUUAUGAAUUUAAUUUAGCCUGUAAUGCUCUCAUUUUUAGAAUUCAACUAUAAAGUAAUUGACUUUUAACUAAUGUCUUUAGUAAUUAUUAUAUGUGGAUUUUGGGGGUCAUUUGGAUGGCUUUAAAUAAAAAUUAGUCUUUCUUACAUUAAUUUAAAAAAAAAUAUAAGAGGUUUUUUUGUAAUAUUUGACCAUUUUUAGCAACAUUAGCAAUUAAAAGCAAGCAACUAGCAGUUUUCAUGCAAAAAGUGAAAGUUGUAUUUUUCAUUAUUUAACACAUUUUCAGUUUUAUAUUUUUAGCUUAUUUCAUCCCUAUAAAUAAUUAUUAUUUGUAAUUUUUGCACUUGUGCUAAUGUGAAAAUUGCUAUGUUCAACACAAACUCAUGAACGCACGUUUAGCUCAUAGGUAGCUGGCUGUUACAACCUGAUGGUAGCGUCAUUUACUCACCAUCGGACGAGGUUUGGUGUGAAAUUUCAAAUGUCGGGAAUCUUUCGCUAAGUUUUUCCUUUCACAGCUAUUCCAACAUUUGGAAAUGGUUUAUUUCAAGCAGACAGAGCAAAAAUGAAAGUAAAGAAGACUAAUAAGAGAAAAGUACAUCCUGAGAUAUAACAAACUUCAUUUAAUUAGUCAUAAAUUGACUGCAAAAUAUAAAUACAGCCACAUACUCAGGCAAAAAAAUAAUUAUAUUAACUUUAAUUUAAAAAUAGACCUAUUAGCUAAUAAUCUAAUAUACCUAUUAGCUUAUCCUAUUAGCUCAUGUUGUUAUGUUAGCUUAUUAACCUACUAGCUUGAAGACUUGAUGUUAAAUAAUUCUGGCAAAACAUAAACUGCAAUUAUUAAUUUUUCCUUCAUGAUCAAAUAAUCCCUUAUUGGUCAUGUUCAACCUGGUUUAAUGUUUAACACAUGCUCAGUGGCCACAGGUUUUUAUGUAGAACCUGAAAAUGGUCUUUACAUUGUGCGUAAAGCCUAAAACACUUAUGAACGUAGAUUUAUAGGCAGCACGCAAUUUUGCAGGUGUCAUUUUUUUGCAGAGGAGGGAGGAAAGGGUUAACGUAAUUGGUAGGAUUCAAAUCACUACACAGGUAUAGUUACAAUGCGCCGGGGGCUAGUGCUCAGCUGAAUCCAUAUUGUCAGGGCUGCCAGUCAAGCAGUGAAUGUGCAUGCCAGGAGACAGAAGCCGGGCCUCCUAAAUAAAGAUGGAUAUUUUCUUGGCGUCGGUCCUGACAGCAGCUUUAAAACCUGUGUAUUCGCUAUCACCUGAGGUCCAAUGAGAUUAUGUCAGAGGCAGGCAGGCAAGCUUUACACGAAACAGGUCUUAAAAAAAAAAAAAAAAAAGGGGGGGUGUUGGUUCUUUGUUGGUUUGCAGAGAAGAACUUCUUAAAGAUCGAUCAUGCAGGAGAGGUCUUUUUCCUAAAACUCUAAUGUAGUGAUGGGUAGAUGGAUUGCAGAAUUGAUUUUAAAAAGUGAAUGUUGUGACUACAAUGCACUCCUGCUGGAUUUUUAAUGCAAACAACAUGCACUCAUGCAUUGUCAAGUGAUAAUUACACAAUAAGCCGGUCUCACUUUAAAAUAGUUGGUCCCAAACGUCCUUACACAAACAGAAACCUCACUUACAAAUGUUUUGACAUGCAUAAGCCCUGCCUGAGAGCUUUAUGGAAUACUCGCUGCACUUUGUCAUGAAAGCACUACUUCACAACUUGUUAAUGCCUGUCUAUUAUUGACAAUCUCUCCCUCCUGGUCUCCAUGGCUUUUUAUUGCGUUCCCACCUCUUUCAGCAAAAAAAAAAAAAAAAAAAAAACGAAAAAAAAAAACACAGAAGAGCGCAUACUGCAGGUGCCGUUCGACAAGUGUAACUAGUCCACGCUAUUUGUUGUUCAGUGUGUUUUUACAAGUUGGCAAAUCUCCUCUAAGCUCUCUGCUUUGAGUUUGUGUUUCUGUUUAACUUAGAGUGCACCCAUGGGUGUAUGUGUGCGUGCUCGGAUGCAUGCAUGACUCUGGAGCGCUGCAGCUUUCUGUUGAAACCUGUUCAUUUGACCAGCAGCCUCCAAGUCAGGUGCCACUGAGUUCACGGGAGUGCAACCCCUGACAAAUAUGAGACGCUCGACUGGGCGUGUGCAGGAGUAUAGAAAAAAAAAUAUUGUUGUUUUAUUUAUACUCACAACGAUGUAGUUGUUCAGGCUGUUGUGUUAGGUGUGGCAAUCAGUACUAUUUAUACAAUUAAAACUGUUGCAUUCCAAGCACACUUUCCCUGCGCCGUGUUCCAUGCCUGCUCCAGGAAAAGACAAAUAAACCAAUGAAUUAAACACAAACUGACAAUUAGUGCUGAAUUUAUUUUGACAUGAAGGAAUAAAACUGAAACGAUGUCUGUCAGGAAAUGAAAAAAAAAAAAUAAAUAAUUAAAAAUAACUGUAUUUUGAGAGGCCGUAUGAGAUUCCUACUUUCUGUCAUGUUUUUAGCUAAAAUGUUGCUGUUUAGCUUAGACUAAAAGUCACAGCUGCUAAAAAUGCUUAAUAAUGAAGGAAAAAUCAUGUAUAAGUCACACUGGAGUCUAAGUCGUACUUUGGGAGAAAUGUAUCUAAUAAACUAGGGGAACAAGAACAGACAUUUCGUAAAACAGAAUGAAAAUAUUAAUAUAGUGAAUAUAUGCAUGCUUCACUGUGUAACAUGUUGAUGCUUACUUAGCUUCAUCAAACAUAGGAGGAAUUAGCCCAAAAUAUGAACAAUUAUUCAUAGAAUUAAGAGCAUGCUAACGAGCCAACUAAGCUCUUUAUUUCUCUACAAAUCACUAAAUUCAGUAAAUUCUUCGUCUUUUGUGUGGCUUUGGAACAAUUCCGCUUAGCCUGAUGUAAGACUGAGUAGUUCUUCUUCUGUGUUGUUGUCAAAGCAAAUACUGAUAGACACCUGCAGUGCCCUCUACUGGUUGCUGGUAUAUAUAAAAAAAAAAAAACAACUUAUAAGUGGCAUCUGUGUGUAGGUUGCACCCCCAGCCAAAUUAUUCAAAAUAAAUCCACUGCUUAUUCUCCGAAAGAUACAAUAGUUAUUAAAGACCCACUCCAGUGACAGUUGUGCAUUUUUAACAUGUUCUAAUGAUGGAGGAAAUUU